ACGGGGGCCCGCGACAAGCGGUGGAGCAUGUGGUUAAUUCGAAGCAACGCGAAGAACCUUACCAGGUCUUGACAUCCCGAUGCUAUUUCUAGAGAUAGAAAGUUACUUCGGUACAUCGGUGACAGGUGGUGCAUGGUUGUCGUCAGCUCGUGUCGUGAGAUGUUGGGUUAAGUCCCGCAACGAGCGCAACCCCUAUUGUUAGUUGCCAUCAUUCAGUUGGGCACUCUAGCGAGACUGCCGGUAAUAAACCGGAGGAAGGUGGGGAUGACGUCAAAUCAUCAUGCCCCUUAUGACCUGGGCUACACACGUGCUACAAUGGUUGGUACAACGAGUUGCGAGUCGGUGACGGCGAGCUAAUCUCUUAAAGCCAAUCUCAGUUCGGAUUGUAGGCUGCAACUCGCCUACAUGAAGUCGGAAUCGCUAGUAAUCGCGGAUCAGCACGCCGCGGUGAAUACGUUCCCGGGCCUU
rnacentral:rRNA from 1 species